AUAACGCCUUAUGACAUGAAAACAAAAUCUAAACUUGCAGAGUCGUUUUGAAUUUGAAUAUCUAAUAAGUAUCAUCAAUGUCCAUUAAUAAGCACAGAAUGCAUAUUAAUUAUAACAUGAAGGUUUUAACUUAACGUCAACCUGCUGCUGCUGUUGCUUGUCUCUAAAUGGCUCUCACUGAUUUGGAUAUCAAUGAUUGUUGUUGUUCUAAACCAUAUCAUGUUAUAAUGGCUCGCUGAUCGUUGUUGUUCUGAACCAUAUGUUAUGACGGCUCUUGUUAUCAUCAAAAUCCCAACCAACAUGGAGAAGUCCUAUUUGUCGGUGAAUGAGAAUUACCUGAUUGCUUUAAAAAAGUCUUAAGUCUUAAACAUUUUUGUUUUUUAAAAAAAAAACUUUGGCUCCCACUCUUAGAUGUUUUUAAACCCCCUUUUAAUUUUGAUUUUUGCUUUUAACCUGUAGCCCUUUGAGAUCUUCGGACGAAGUUUAGAAAACUGUGUUUAGCAAUCGAAUAGAAAAUAACUUUGUUCUCCCGGUUAUUGACUCGGAUAGAAAAAGACUGAAAACAGUAUUUUUUUAAUAAACUCCCGGUACGCUAACUAAGUUGUUGAUGCUUCGUUUUAUAAAAUUAAAAAUAUUUUAAUAAAAUAGGAGGUGCAAACUAUACAUUUUUAGUGAGGUGUGGGUUGUUAGUACCACAUAGUAGGACAGGUCUACAUUGGUCUUGGGCCUGUGGGUCCCAUAACUCGGAAGCUAUUGAGCAAAAAGCUGUUUUCCAUAGAAAAAGAAUGGCCGAAUAUCCGUUGAAUAUCUGUCUCGGUCUGUUGAAAAGGAGACAAUGCAAUGUGAAUGUGAAAAGGAACCGCACCAAACCAAAAACUAAUGUUGCGUUUUGGUCCGGACCAUAAGGAUCGAACUAAGGACUUUCCUGGUGUGAAUAGGCCCUAAAUGAGCCUCCAUGAGUCCGGUCUCAUGGCAGCGUCUGGCUGCAGCAGAGAUGGAGCUGGAGGAGGAGAGAAAAGAGCAGGAAGAGAAAGGAAAGGAAACAUUCUUAACAACCUGGAGACCGUUGCUCUGAGAAACCAGCGUGAGAUGGGGGGACAGCUCCGCCUCCGGGAGGAGACCCAGGCCCUGCCGGGGCAGCUCGUCUCUCCAGGGUGUCUGGGGCCUGGGGCGGGGUGUGUCGGCGGGGGCUGACGGCCCCAAGCUGAAGCAGGCGGUGGGUGACAUCGCCAGCCUGACCCGGGUCAAGCAGCAGCCCAUCGCCAUGGGUACGGGCUCCGUGCCCAGCUCCAAACAUCUGGACCAGAGGGGACAGAGGGGCCAGGCUCUGCCAGAGCAAAGGAGUCCCAAGCUGGGGAGAGAGAGAGGGGGGAGCUGGACCACCGCCCGCCCACCCUGGAGGAGCUGGAGAAGAGGAAGUCCUGUCCAGGGCGCAAUUUGCUUGUGGGUGCUUGUGUUUAGGGCGGGGGGCGAGGGCACAACAUUUGCACCGGGCCAAUCACCAUGAUGUUACGCUGCUGCUAAGAGUGUUUUCAUCAGAGUAUUGUUUGGUUAAACUCAUAAGUGUUUUCAUUAAGUUUCAUACAAUAAAUUAUUCUGUGUAGCAGCACUUUGCA